CUGGAUAAUGGAUCUCAUACCUGUACAGAACUGAAAAAAGGCGAAAGUAAAUUCAUCAUGCAAAUACAACUUAGAGAUCAUGAGCACCAGUGAAUUUAAAGAAAAUGUAACUAUGCAUAUAUUUUGGAAUUCAUUUAGGCUCUAUUGUUGGAAUAUGGAAUAAUAUGACAAGCUGAACAUUUAUUUACCAGAUUACAGAAGAAUCUUGAAGGCACUGGAAUGCCCAUUUUGCGAAGGAGAGUCAUCAAAUUGCAUCCCCUUGUGUACCACUUUUCACUGAUAUUCUAAACUGACAGAAAUACACUGUCCCUUGGGAAUUUCCAACACACAAAAAGAGAGAAAGAUGUGUACUGUCCCUGCAUAGAAGGCAUGUUCUUCCUUACCCCCUGGCAAUUUAUGCUGCUGCACAGCUUUGUACAAACAAAACUCCUCUGCCUGCAAAAAGAAUUACUACAGCUUUGAAUCUCAUCCUAAACAAUACAUAACAACAGAACACAGUGAUUUGAUACUGAAGGGUCAGAGGAUGUGAGUCCUUGCCCUUGACUGAAGAAAUGGUGGUGAGAUCAUACCCCAGAAAACUGACAUUUCCAAAUAAAAACCUGCAAACAGCUACAAUGCCCAAUUUUGCAGAUUAGCACUGAUUAGAUCAAUAUGAACCCCUGCGAUUAAGAAUGCCCCAGACUAUCACUGGCCGUACUUUCAGAGAUUUGCUUGUUUUAAAGCCAGGUCAGAAGGAAAAGCAUGUACCUAGGCCUUUAAUACCAACAUAAGAAAUAGAACAUUAUUUCUUGGAUAUUUCAAAGAAAACCUCAAAGAUGAUAUCUUUUGCACAUUCUCUGUCUCUGCUGGGCAGCAUUCAGAUUUGUCUACAACUCCAAACGACAUGAAAGUGUAGUUUGAAGAAGAUGCCGGUUAUAGUAGUUUGGCCAUAGCAUAAUAGGUUGCAUAUUACAUGGACAAUGUUUUAGGUUAUAUUAUUCAGAAUAUAAAAUGUAUUGUCAGUUUUUGAGCACAAGCUCAGUUUAAUUGUGAACAGCUGUGUCUUAUAACAUUUAAUCUCUCUUUCUCCAUAUGCUUUUCUGAUUUUAGUGAGUCUUUAAAGGGAUUUUGUCAUACUUUUUAUGGUGUAGUUUUUAUUUCUAAAUUACAAUGUUUAUACUGCAAAUCACUCAUUGUACCAUAUUAAAUGUAAUUCCUGAACCAACAAAUUAAUUAUAAGAGUCAGCACUUCAUGAUGGAGCUGUUUUCAGGC